AGUGAACGCUGGCGGUAGGCCUAACACAUGCAAGUCGAACGGCAGCACAGUAAGAGCUUGCUCUUACGGGUGGCGAGUGGCGGACGGGUGAGGAAUACAUCGGAAUCUACUUUUUCGUGGGGGAUAACGUAGGGAAACUUACGCUAAUACCGCAUACGACCUACGGGUGAAAGCAGGGGAUCUUCGGACCUUGCGCGAUUGAAUGAGCCGAUGUCGGAUUAGCUAGUUGGCGGGGUAAAGGCCCACCAAGGCGACGAUCCGUAGCUGGUCUGAGAGGAUGAUCGGCCACACUGGAACUGAGACACGGUCCAGACUCCUACGGGAGGCAGCAGUGGGGAAUAUUGGACAAUGGGCGCAAGCCUGAUCCAGCCAUACCGCGUGGGUGAAGAAGGCCUUCGGGUUGUAAAGCCCUUUUGUUGGGAAAGAAAAGCAGCAGGUUAAUACCCCGCUGUUCUGACGGUACCCAAAGAAUAAGCACCGGCUACCUUCGG
rnacentral:rRNA from 1 species